CUUAAAGUUGAUACGCCAAACGCCAUUCAAAGAACAGAAGAAAAGAGAUUUGCGUUUACUUUAAACUUUCUUUUUGCAACUUACAUUUAAAAAAUAAAAUAACAAAGAAAAUGUAAUUAAUUCAACGCUACUUUGAGGAAAGACAUGCAGAUGCAGUGGUUUUGGAGAUGCUGCAAGCAAAUCAUGGCGGCUCAGUUUUUUUGGGGAUCUCACAUAUGAAGGUCACUUCAAUGACAGCAUCGAACAUCAGUGCCUGUUUCAGUUCUGCUUCCAAAACAGGAUUUGACCCUGUAGACUUGCACUGUCCCCUGGGAGGUUAACAAAUAAACACUACCAUCUACCACACAAGUCGGCAAGAUAUAUCUGUCAGGAUCACGUGACUGUCACCUUGCAGUUUAGGAAUUCAUGUUAUGUGUUUAACAUUCGUUAAAUACUUAAAAGCAGCAAUACAUUUUUUUUUUACAUAUAUUAGUAACCUUACCUCUAAUACAAUACCUCUUGCAGCACUUCCACUACAUUUUGGUUUACCAGGUCUUUUGAAUGAAAAUGGGUCCUCCACAGACAUGGGAAUAUUUUUUUCCUGCCAAGAAAUACUAAUUCUCCCUGACAGCUGUAUUAGAAAUUUUAAAUUCAUAGUACAUAUAUACUCAUCUGUAUAUAAUGUUCAUAGUACAUACACAUCUGUAAAUUACUGUUUAUAGUCCUAUAAUAUCAUUUAAUUUAAUUUAUGUAAAUCAUGUAAACACUAUAU